UACGUAGGGGGCAAGCGUUGUCCGGAAUUAUUGGGCGUAAAGCGCGUGUAGGCGGUCCGGUAAGUCGGCUGUGAAAAUCCAGGGCUUAACCCUGGACCUGCAUCGGGUACGGGCAGACUAGAGUGCGGUAGGGGAGAUCGGAAUUCCUGGUGUAGCGGUGAAAUGCGCAGAUAUCAGGAGGAACACCGGUGGCGAAGGCGGAUCUCUGGGCCGUAAGCUGA
rnacentral:rRNA from 1 species